AUAGGGGCAUUAUGUUUUCUGGUCUGUGCGUCCGUUCGUCCGUUCGUUCGUCCGUUCGUUCGUCCGUCUGUCCCGCUUCAGGUUAAAGUUUUUGGUCGAGGUAGUUUUUGAUGAAGUUGAAAUCCAAUCGACUUCAAACUUGGUACACAUGUUCCCUAUGAUAUGAUCUUUCUAAUUUUAAAGCCAAAUUAAACUUUUGACCCCAAUUUCACGGUCCACUGAACAUAGAAAAUGAAAGUGCA
rnacentral:lncRNA from 1 species